AUCGAAACGAACUAAUAUCAGACGACAUCUUUGUUCCUUUAAAAUACUCGCUUAGGAACUAUCAAGUAUGGUGGCUGUCCCUGUCAUGAUGUCUGCCUUUUUAUUAGUUGUAAGUAAAGCAACGUGGAAUGAAAUCCAAUGCACAUACUUGAUUCCGAAGAAGAUAGCAUUGAAAUCUUUCUACGGCAGCAUCAAUUAGUCCAGUGAAAUGAUUGAACUAUUCCAUUAAUCAGCUCUCAACACUUGAAAACGCCUCAUGGGUUUCCUCUAUGGUUCCAUAUUCCUGGCAGAUUUGAGUCUGUUAGCCAGAGGUCGUCGCACUUGACGUAUUUACGAAUAUGAAUAGAGGGUACUCCAGACCAAAAAAAAUUUAAGGUUCAGUUUGUCCUGUGUUAGUGGUCUGGAAUAUUUCACUCAUUCUAGGUGUUCCUGGAAUGUUGCAGACUGCGUAACAUGAAGGUAGCAGAAAUUUAAUGUUGUCAUUUUAAAUAAAUUGUGCAAAUUGUUAAUUUGUAUGAAAAUAAAUUAUUUGUAAUAAAAUUAUAUUUUUGACUAA